GAUCCUGGCUCAGGAUGAACGCUGGCGGCGUGCCUAACACAUGCAAGUCGAGCGAUUACUUCGGUAAAGAGCGGCGGACGGGUGAGUAACGCGUGGGUAACCUGCCUCAUACACAUGGAUAACAUACCGAAAGGUAUGCUAAUACAGGAUAAUAUAAGAGAUUCACAUGGAUUUCUUAUCAAAGCUCCGGCGGUAUGAGAUGGACCCGCGUCUGAUUAGCUAGUUGGUAAGGUAAUGGCUUACCAAGGCGACGAUCAGUAGCCGACCUGAGAGGGUGAUCGGCCACAUUGGAACUGAGACACGGUCCAAACUCCUACGGGAGGCAGCAGUGGGGAAUAUUGCACAAUGGGCGAAAGCCUGAUGCAGCAACGCCGCGUGAGUGAUGAAGGCCUUCGGGUCGUAAAACUCUGUCCUCAAGGAAGAUAAUGACGGUACUUGAGGAGGAAGCCCCGGCUAACUACGUGCCAGCCGCCGC
rnacentral:rRNA from 1 species